rnacentral:rRNA from 1 species
UACGAAGGGGGCUAGCGUUGUUCGGAAUUACUGGGCGUAAAGGGCGCGUAGGCGGCCGGUUACGUUAGAUGUGAAAGUCCUGGGCUCAACCUGGGGACUGCAUUUAAUACUGGUUGGCUUGAAUUCGGGAGAGGAUAGCGGAAUUCCCAGUGUAGAGGUGAAAUUCGUAGAUAUUGGGAAGAACACCGGUGGCGAAGGCGGCUAUCUGGACCGACAUUGACGCUGAGGCGCGAAAGCGUGGGGAGCAAACAGG